UCAAGUGAGGGUCGAGCGGGCGCGGUCAUGCGGAGGUGGUGAGCGUGAUCCGGAUGUACGUGGUGUAAGGGGAGCGUAGACGGGGGGGCAAGGCGGAUGUGAAAGGCAUGGGCUCAACCUGUGGACUGCAUUGGAAACUGUCAUACUUGAGUGCCGGAGGGGUAAGCGGAAUUCCUAGUGUAGCAGUGAAAUGCGUAGAUAUUAGGAGGAACACCAGUGGCGAAGGCGGCUUACUGGACGGUAACUGUCGUUGAGGCUCGAAAGCGUGGGGAGCAAACAGGAUUAGAUACCCCAGUAGUC
rnacentral:rRNA from 1 species